GGAGUUGUGGCUCAGCAGUAGAGCACUUGCCUGGCACGUAUGAGGCCCUGGGUUUGAUUCUCAGCACCA
rnacentral:tRNA from 1 species